ensembl:lncRNA
AGGAAAGGCCUCAUUCAACAGGGGAUCUCCGUCAGAAGAGCUCUUCUCCCGAAGUGUGCUGGUCUCUCAAGAUGCUGAAAGCAGCUUCCGGACUUCGCUGAUUCAGCCCUGGCCUGCCUGCUUUUGGAGGAUGCUUGAUCAUGUCAGCUUCCUGGUGAUAACCAGCUUUAUUUAGCCUGCCCUGCUUCUGCCUAUUCCUGUACCCUCUCUUACGGAAUCUCUUCCCAUCCAAACUGAGCAGCCGGGGAAGGAAGUCAAACGGUCUAUGCCGUAAAACCUUGAAGUAUCCACAUCUCUCCUCAAACUCAGUGACCCCUACCGCUAACAGAAAGGUGGAUACUGAAACACUGGCACAGGAUCUUUUCCUGAAAUACAGCCUGCUUUCUACUUCUGCAUCUCUGCUCACUUCUCAACAGAGAACAAAGGGAUUUUUAUGGAGACAGACACACCCCGCAUUCCCAGUUUACAGAAUUUAUUUUUAACCAGAACUACGUGUAGAAAUAUGUGAGCAGCUAUGCUCGUAAUAAUAGACGGAAGAGGAGAAGAUGUGUGUGUGUGUGGAUUCAUCUUCCUAGACACAGUGCCCAAAGAGAAAAGAAAGGCUGGGAAUGGAGUGGUACCACAGGGUCCUCUUUGGAUGGUGUUGGAUGACAGGGAGAGAGUCCAGACAGCAGCGGAGGUCAGAAUAAUUCUCAAGUUCUAGAGGGAAGGUGGGAUCCUUCCCAGUGGCCAUUGAUGAUGCAGCUCUUCUCAUCGUACCCACUCCCUCUGGACCCCUUACUACAUCGUUGGUGUCAGGGAUGGUUUUGAUGACUUCCUAUUUUAUUUUUCUUAAGUUUAUUUAUUUUGAGAGAGAAAAAGAAAGAGAGAGAGCAUGCUAGCGCAUCAGGGAGGGGCAGAAGGAGAGAGAGAAUCCCAAGCAGGCUCCACACAAUCAGCACGGAGACAUACACAGGGCUCCAACUCAUGAACUGUGAGAUCAUGACCUGAGCUGAAACCAAGAGCCAGAUGCUUAACUGACUGAGCCCCCAGGGCACCCCAAUUACUUCCUACUUUAGAUCUCCAGUCUAUACCCCUUUCCUGGACUCCAGACCUUUAUAUCCAGCUGCCCAGGGGACCCCUACACUUACACGUGGAAAGAAACUUACUAGCUUUCCCCAACCUUCUCCUCUUCCUGUGUCCUUUGUCCCAAGGAGAGCACUUACUCUCGAUUCCUUCUUCUCACCGACCAUAGUGAGUUUUUUGUCAAAUUCAGUUGCAUCUGCCUUCUGAAUAGCUCCUCAUCUUCUCCCCUCCUUGCCAUUUCACUGGUCUUAGUUCUGGUCACCAUGACCUCUCACUAGAAUUUUCACUGCAGCCUCUUAUCUGUGCUGCCUAUCUCUAGACAUGAACGUCCUUUGCCAAUCCUUCCUCCUGAACGCAACGUUCAUUUCCUCUCUCUUUUGCUUAAAAUUCUUCACCUGGUGCCCACUGUCCCCAGGGUAAACUGCAAGACCUAUUAGUGUGACUUAAAGGUUCAUGACCUGCCCCACUUGCUGCCUAUAGUCACCUCCUGCCCCUUCCUCCGCAUCAUCUCCCAGCCGUACUGAACUUCGUGCAGGUCUGUGAUUUCUCUGAGCUGAUUGAGCUGUGUACAUGAUGUUCUCACUUUCUUCAGCUGAGGAACUUUUGCUCAUCUUUUGGGAUUCAAUUCAAAGUAUCAUCUUCUCGGGGGCACCUGGGUGGCUUAGUCGGUUAAAUGUCUGACUUCAGUCCAGGUCAUGAUUUCACAGUUCACGAGUUUGAGCCCCGUGUGGGGCUCUGUGCUGACAGCUCAGAGCCUGGAGCCUGCUUCAGAUUCUGUGUCUCCCUCUCUCUCUCUCUGCCCCUCCUGCACUUGCACUCUGUCUCUCUCUCUCAAAAAUAAAUAAACAUUAAAAACAAACCA